CCCCACUAGAUGACUUGAAACACUUUGAUGGACACUUUAGUUUUUUACCAAAACAUGGGCCUUUGUCUUUGCAAACAAUAGUGGGCCUUAUGAUUCCACCUUUACCAUAUCCUCCUUUUGGGCCUCCAAAUCCACCACCAUAUCCUCCUCCAACUAUAGGCCCAAAACCAGGGAUGUUGAAUCCACCUACAGGCCCAAAACCAGGGAUAUUAUUGUUGUCAUCAUUUUUAGUAGUAGCAAAAGUGAAAGUGAUUGAGAUGAACAAGAAAAUUAAGAUGAGAGCUAUAGAGUUCUUCAU
rnacentral:lncRNA from 1 species